GACGAACGCUGGCGGCGUGCCUAAUACAUGCAAGUCGAACGCAGUGGGUACGGGUUAGUAACACGUGGGUAACCUCCCAUCAGAGGGGAUAACACUUGGCAACAGGUGCUAAACCGAUACUGAUGGAUGGACCCGCGGUGCAUUAGCUAGUUGGUGAGGUAACGGCUCACCAAGGCCACGAUGCAUAGUCGACUAGAUGGGGUGAUCGGCCAGACUGGGACUGAGAAACGGCCCAGACUCGUACGGGAGGCAGCAGUAGGGAAUUUUCGGCAAUGGACGAAAGUCUGACCGAGAAACGGCGCGGGAGUGAAGAAGGUUUUCGGAGUGUAAAACUCUGUUGUUAGGGAAGCGGUAUCUAACCAGAAAGCCACGGCUAACUACGUGCCAGCAGCCGCGGUAAUUC
rnacentral:rRNA from 1 species